GACAUUUUUGCGCCUAACUUUAGAACGAAUUAAGAUAUUUUCAUAAUUUUUGUACACUAAUAUAUUGGGAUCCUUGAAGAGGGAUUUGAGGGCAAAAACGUCAUUUUGGAUUAAGAACUUUGGUACUUAGGACAGUUUUGGUUGAGGCAUUUUUUCCUAUAAUUUUCUUAGAAAUUUUUUACUUUUCCCGAGUAUAGUAUUACGAAUAAUUGAAAUAUUCUUAAGAGGCUUCUGAGCAAAGCGGAGGAAUUUAUUUCCCAAUAAUUUCAUACCAAAACGAUUUUUGUACCUCAAAAACUCCUUGAAUUAGGGACAAUUCUGUCCAUUAAGCUCCAAGACCCACCAAACUUGGAGUUUCAAAGGUAUGUUGCAACCUCAAAAAUUUUAUUAAUUACUGGACAUUUUUGCGCCUAACUUUAGAACGAAUUAAGAUAUUUUCAUAAUUUUUGUACACUAAUAUAUUGGGAUCCUUGAAGAUGUAUUUGAGGGCAAAAA